CAUAACCUCAUUCAUGUUUUUUAUUAUGGCUAAAUUAUCCGAACAUGAAAUAUCCAACAGCCAAAGCCUGAAAUCUUCGCCUCUUCCCUCCCCUUGAUCUCUCUGUUACCUUCUUUUUUCUUUUUUUCUUUUUUUUUUUAUUGAAUUGAAUGACCCAAAGACAAACAGGUCAAUAUUGCAUUCAAUCUCUCUUCCAAGCGCUUGCAUUUGGUAUCCAAGAAGCCGGUAUUUUGCUGAAGGGAAUCCAGGUUCAACAAGGCUUUGUUUUAAUGCAGAUAAUAAUGAUGGAUUUAAAGUGGAGUAUGCACCUUGGUUGAUUGUUGGAUACGGUAACCCUGGAAAUAAGUAACAUGGAACUGGGCACAAUGAGGAAGGGAUUGUGUUGAACGCUAUACAGCCAAAAGCUCUAAUAGGAAUAGGUGCCAUUGGGGAAGUACCAAUUCUGUUGGCAAAGCCUCAGACAUACAUGAAUUUCAGUGGGGAGUCAGUUAGUCCUCAUGCAUUUUUCUUUCCCCCUUUCUCGCCUCAGUUCUAUGUAGCAGGUCUAGGUCAUGCUUAUCAAGUACGAGUUAGCUUACAUUCAUAUGUCCUUUUGAAGAAUCUCCUCACAUUUUGGUUAGCAAAGAAAAGAUGUCUGUACUAUUUUAUAACAUGGCUGGAAAUGAGAUGUCAAAGCGUUUGCUCAUAAUAUUUUCUAAUACAUGCUUCCUUCAUCUCUCUUUUCUUGAAUCAGCUGCACAUUUUCCAUCAGAUAGCUAGAGGACAGUGAUUCUUGGACAAUAAACCAUUUCCUAGAUACCCAUCCAUAAAAGGAAUAGGGAUCAUAUUAUGACUCUGAAUAAAUUUGGAACUCAUUGUAUUCUUGUUAUUUAUAAUUUAGGAGUUUAAAGAAAAAUCAUUGUAUGGUGUCUUUAGUACCAUUGAUUUAUAGAAAGUUAAUGUGAUGUUUAUAAAUUGCAUAUCUUGUUAGUUAAAUUGGUUGUUUCAUUAAUGCUAAAAUAAAAUUUGAUCUAUUGCCUCAAUUCCUGAGGCCUAGAAGAACCCAAUUAGUGCUAUCCAAAUUCUACUUUGAUCCCUUUUUUAUCUUAAUUUAAGCUUUGAUUUUAUAAAUAAGGGAAGUUUUCAUAAAGGAAAUUAUCCAAAUGGAAAGUUCUUCU